rnacentral:rRNA from 1 species
AUUGAACGCUGGCGGCAUGCUUUACACAUGCAAGUCGGACGGCAGCACAGAGGAGCUUGCUUCUUGGGUGGCGAGUGGCGAACGGGUGAGUAACGCAUCGGAACGUACCGAGUAAUGGGGGAUAACUGUCCGAAAGGACAGCUAAUACCGCAUACGCCCUGAGGGGGAAAGCGGGGGAUCUUAGGACCUCGCGUUAUUCGAGCGGCCGAUGUCUGAUUAGCUGGUUGGCGGGGUAAAGGCCCACCAAGGCGACGAUCAGUAGCGGGUCUGAGAGGAUGAUCCGCCACACUGGGACUGAGACACGGCCCAGACUCCUACGGGAGGCAGCAGUGGGGAAUUUUGGACAAUGGGCGCAAGCCUGAUCCAGCCAUGCCGCGUGUCUGAAGAAGGCCUUCGGGUUGUAAAGGACUUUUGUCAGGGAAGAAAAGGGGCAUGUUAAUACCGUGCUCUGAUGACGGUACCUGAAGAAUAAGCACCGGCUAACUACGUG